GGAGCUGGGGUUGCCCCCAUAAGGCUCCCUGAGGGAUUCCGUCCGUCGGGCUUCUAGCCUGGGACAGGACAACCUUGAAGCCUUCAAUAAACUUGAGGCUUAUCUAGCUCCUCUCCUCUUCGACCUUCUGAAGGAGCAACUCUUAUUUAACAUCGGCCUAUGCCCUCUCAACCCUACCGGUAUUUUUUUUUGUCAUUCGCUGCUUUCCCUUU
rnacentral:lncRNA from 1 species